rnacentral:rRNA from 1 species
UGAACGCUGGCGGCGUGCCUAAUACAUGCAAGUCGAGCGAACGGACGAGAAGCUUGCUUCUCUGAUGUUAGCGGCGGACGGGUGAGUAACACGUGGAUAACCUACCUAUAAGACUGGGAUAACUUCGGGAAACCGUAGCUAAUACCGGAUAAUAUUUUGAACCGCAUGGUUCAAAAGUGAAAGACGGUCUUGCUGUCACUUAUAGAUGGAUCCGCGCUGCAUUAGCUAGUUGGUAAGGUAACGGCUUACCAAGGCAACGAUGCAUAGCCGGCCUGAGAGGGUGAUCGGCCACACUGGAACUGAGACACGGUCCAGACUCCUACGGGAGGCAGCAGUAGGGAAUCUUCCGCAAUGGGCGAAAGCCUGACGGAGCAACGCCGCGUGAGUGAUGAAGGUCUUCGGAUCGUAAAACUCUGUUAUUAGGGAAGAACAUAUGUGUAAGUAACUGUGCACAUCUUGACGGUACCUAAUCAGAAAGCCACGGCUAACUACGUG